rnacentral:rRNA from 1 species
UACGGGGGGGGCAAGCGUUGUCCGGAAUUAUUGGGCGUAAAGAGCUCGUAGGCGGUUUGUUGCGUCGGCUGUGAAAUCCCGAGGCUCAACCUCGGGUCUGCAGUCGAUACGAGCAAACUAGAGUGUUGCAGGGGAGACUGGAAUUCCUGGUGUAGCGGUGAAAUGCGUAGAUAUCAAGAGGAACACCUGCGGCGAAGGCGGGUCUCUGGGCAGUAACUGACGCUGAGGAGCGAAAGCGUGGGGAGCGAACAGG